GGAGAGGUGGCCGAGUGGUUGAAGGCGCGCCCCUGCUAAGGGCGUAUAGGGGAAACCUUAUCGAGGGUUCGAAUCCCUCCCUCUCCGCCA
rnacentral:tRNA from 1 species